AAACCCUAGAAAAAUCCCUUCCUCAUUAAAUCAUCUUCCCUCUCCUAUUCGCACGCGGAUUUGGUACUGCCCCUGCCUAGACCGAGCUCCCUUCUCCUCUUGACGUGGCAGGAUUUGAUUGGACGGCAGGCCUCAGAGAUGGCCCCACAAUAAACAAAGUUGUUCGUACCGGGCUCAAUCUCUGACAGCGGCCUGCCUUCAAAUCGAACCCCACCAAGUCAGGGGUGGACGGAGCUCGGUCCAGGCGGGGGCAGUACCACAUCCCUUUUUUUGAAGAUGGAGAACCUUUCCAUCCGUUUUCAAGCAACCGCAGCAGAUCAAUCACACUUCCCAUUCUCGGCAGUUCCAAGCAUCUCCUUCUUCCCAACGGAAGAUAUUUCAGAUAUUUCUGUCUUCCUACGAGUUGUCGAUGAUAAAUAUGCAAAUGGAAGUGAUGAACAAGAUGUGACCGAAAUCUACCAGGACGAUGACUAUUUUAUUGAAUGUGGGGAUGAUUGGAAUUUGUAUGUGCGCAAUGGGCAAUAGGCUCGUUGGUAAAAAUGUAUGUUUGUAUUGGAAUUAUUGAGUUCUGUUGCAUAUAACAUGAAUAGUUUCUUGA